rnacentral:rRNA from 1 species
CAGCAGUCGCCGCGGUAAUACGGAGGGUGCAAGCGUUAAUCGGAAUUACUGGGCGUAAAGCGCACGCAGGCGGUCUGACAAGUCAGAUGUGAAAUCCCCGGGCUUAACCUGGGAACUGCAUUUGAAACUGUCAGGCUGGAGUCUUGUAGAGGGGGGUGGAAUUCCAGGUGUAGCGGUGAAAUGCGUAGAGAUCUGGAGGAAUACCGGUGGCGAAGGCGGCCCCCUGGACAAAGACUGACGCUCAGGUGCGAAAGCGUGGGGAGCAAACAGGAUUAGAUACCCGCGUAGUCCCUGUCUCUUAUAC